rnacentral:rRNA from 1 species
GUACCGCGGCUGCUGGCACGAAGUUAGCCGGAGCUUCUUCUCCGGGUACCGUCAUUAUCGUCCCCGGUGAAAGAAUUUUACAAUCCUAAGACCUUCAUCAUUCACGCGGCAUGGCUGCGUCAGGCUUUCGCCCAUUGCGCAAGAUUCCCUACUGCUGCCUCCCGUAGGAGUCUGGGCCGUGUCUCAGUCCCAGUGUGGCUGAUCAUCCUCUCAGACCAGCUAUGGAUCGUAGCCUUGGUGAGCCAUUACCCCACCAACUAGCUAAUCCAACGCGGGCCGCUCCUAUGGCGAUAAAUCUUUCCGCCGUAGCGCUCAUGCGGUAUUAGCUGAAGUUUCCCUCAGUUGUUCCGCACCAUAGGGCACGUUCCCACGCGUUACUCACCCGUCCGCCGCUCCCCCGAAAGGGCGCUCGACUUGCAUGUAUUAGGCCUGCCGCCAGCGUUCGCUCUGAGCCAUGAUCAAACUC